CCCAGACUCCUACGGGAGGCAGCAGUGGGGAAUAUUGCACAAUGGGGGGAACCCUGAUGCAGCGACGCCGCGUGGGUGAAGGAGUACUUCGGUACGUAAAGCCCUAUCAGCAGGAAAGAAAAUGACGGUACCUGACUAAGAAGCCCCGGCUAACUACGUGCCAGCAGCCGCGGUAAUACGUAGGGGGCAAGCGUUAUCCGGAUUUACUGGGUGUAAAGGGAGCGUAGACGGCAGUGCAAGUCCGGAGUGAAAGCCCGGGGCUCAGCCCUGGGACUGCUCUGGAAACUGUAAAGCUGGAGUGCGGGAGGGGCAGGCGGAAUUCCUGGUGUAGCGGUGAAAUGCGUAGAUAUCAGGAGGAACACCGGCGGCGAAGGCGGCCUGCUGGACCGUAACUGACGUUGAGGCUCGAAAGCGUGGGGAGCAAACAGGAUUAGAUACCCGAGUA
rnacentral:rRNA from 1 species